AUACGGAGGGUGCAAGCGUUAUUCGGAAUCACUGGGCGUAAAGGACGCGUAGGCGGGUUGGCAAGUCAGAUGUGAAAUCCUACAGCUUAACUGUAGAACUGCAUUUGAAACUGCCGACCUAGAGUAUGGGAGGGGGAGAUGGAAUUAGUGGUGUAGGGGUAAAAUCCGUAGAUAUCACUAGGAAUACCGAAAGCGAAGGCGAUCUCCUGGAACAUAACUGACGCUAAGGCGUGAAAGCGUGGGGAGCAAACGGGAUUAGAAACCCUAGUAGUCC
rnacentral:rRNA from 1 species